UUCUCGCAUUUAAGGAAAGCGUGCCGAAUGAGAACAUUUAUAAAAGUGUAUUUACUUAGUCGAAAUAACAAGCAUACUCGGCACAAAGGUCGAUAUCAGAACCUUUCGUUAAGAAGUGUUUUUGUUUGAUAUCCGAAGUUUUUGUUAUACCAUUUCAUAAUAAAAACCAUUUCAUAAUAAAAACUUAACUUAACUUAGACUCUUAAACUAAAUACCGACUCACGCAAAUAUGCGGAAAAAGAUGGAAAAGAAUCGAUGAUGUCCCGGUAAACAUCGAUGUUGGCAUCAAUAUUUCUCCACCUAUACUCAUCACACCAUAGCAUUAUUCUAUCUGGCUCACGAUUAUGUUGGGCCAUUACCGAACACUAUAACCCAACACCUUAUACAUGCACACACAUAUAAGGAUGUAAUCUUGGCAGGGGACGCUAACUCACAUCACACGCAAUCGGGAUAUACAAACACUAACGAAAGGGGUGAGCUUGAAGCGUGAAAGCGCGGAGUUUCAAGCGAGAUUGCAAGAGAGAGGGACAAGAAAGGAAGGAAAUCAAUGGAAAUUUAACAAUAGGUAACCAUGUGAGUCUUGUUUGGAAAUAUUUAGUUCCUCGGCCUUAUAUGGAGGGGUACAUAAAAUUAUCAAGCGGAUAAGGCGACACUAUUCCGGCCUACAUAAGUGAUUGCGGAUAACGUUGUGCGUUGGUGUAGGAGGCAGCAAAGCAUUACAGCGUUAACUUCAGCAGACGGACUUCAUCGCCAAUCUUCUACAGACACAUUUUAAAAUCUAGAAAAGCAAUGGAGUCGCAGAUACAGAUUAGCAUGCCGACAAAUUGUAGUUCCCAAGCGGUUUCUGACGCACAAUAAGCUGACGAAAUUCCUGAGUUAUAAUAUUUCUGUGAUAUUGCGAAUGGACACGACCGACAAAAUUCUUCAAGAACAUCCACAUCGAUUUGAGGGCGCUUCCAAAAGUCUGCAACCCGCGUCACUGCCUUACGAUUAUCGACUGAUUUAAAAGAUGGCCUCUAUCUAUACCUCUAUCAAACAUGACUACGAAAAGCGUUCACACCCACUGGAUUUGUUUAUUAGGCUGACCACUUAUCAUAAAUCACCGAUUGCUAAUCCUGCCAAAUUGAAUAUGAAAAGAUUUUAGCAAGACCUUAUCACUCACAAUGAAAUGAACCGGGGAGAACAGGGAGGCUCUGAUGCGUAACUCUCAUAUAGUUUUGACUAAUCUCCCACGGUACUGUAGGACUGGCGUUCGACUUUUAAGGCAUACCUACCAGAUUAAGCUGCAAAAAAGCUUUUUGACAAAGCUCCCAAAAAAAUUUUCUAUCCGAUUACAAAAUACAUUCUCAUUAACCUAUUAUUUAAAACUAUCAGUUAAAACUAUCAGUUAAAACUAUCAGUCAAAACUAUCAGUUAAAACUAUCAGUUAAAACUACUUCUGCUGCCUAUGACACGAUGCCACAUAUUUUCAGCUCCAAGCCAUAGACUGGACCUCACCAAAUAAACAUACAUGGACGGCAGAAAAUUGUAUCCGUUGAGAGAGAGAUUAAAGACACCCACAAGUUGAAGAACUUGCAACCCAAGCGUUGGUUUCAUUACCUUCGCCAUCCGAGGAAAACACUGAAGGAGAGUAGAUUUUGCAACAAGUCUAGCAACCCAAAUAAAACAGAUUUAAACAUAGGAAAUGUGGAUAGUUAAACGAAAUUGGAGUUUUCUGAGCGCUUACUAUAGCACACAUAAUUGCUACCCCAUUACCCCGUUACCCUGUUAAAUGAGACUGAAUCUCUACAUCCUUUUUCAGACCAACAUUUGUCUUUACUGAUAUGAAUAUAAUCACCUUCGAAAUAAUGAAAUAUUUUUUUUUUAAUAUCACUGAACAUAUGUAUCACAACAAUCAUUAAAAAUUUUACAUUGUGUUACUAA